rnacentral:lncRNA from 1 species
AUGCCCUUGAUUCUGAGGGCCCCGGGCUUGCUGGAUGGGGGCUCACCGGGUAUCAUCCCGUUUCUGGUUGGAGCAAGGGACCUUGCCUCGCUAUUGAAAGCGCGCUGCUUUACUUCGAUUGUAGUCCCCAUAAUCUCCGGAAUGAAGAGCAAGCGGUCCGGGCCGGUGCGGUGGCCCAUGUCUGUAAUCCCGGCACUUCCGCAGGCCAAGGCAGGAGGAUCGCUGGAGCCCAUGAGUUCCAGACCAGCCUGGGCAAAAUAGCAAGACCCCCUGUCUCUACAAAAAAAAAAAAAAAGGCGGGGGUUGGGGGAUGGUAAACAAGCUGGGCAUGGUGGCGCACGCAGGUAGUUCCAGCUACUCGGUAGGCUG